UGGGAGCUUACUAGACUAAGGUGUUUUGAUACAAGAAGCUCAAGAAGCUAGAGGGGGAGAAUCAAGCAAAAGCAAAGGAAAGAACAUCGAAUAGCCGAGUUGGAACCAUUUUACCCAACACAAGGUCUCUUGGACUCAUAUCGUUUGCGUGCUCGGAACCGUCGUUGAAGUCAUCACACCGGCUGGAAAUCUUUUGGUAUUGUCUUCGUAGUUGAGCUAGGAGAACAUUUGGCAUGUAUAGGCUAUUUUGUUUGUUGAAUCUCGGGUUGUAAACUUUAAGCCAUGCGAAGAUGGCCUAUGUGGUCGGUUGAGUGUGAAUCUAAAACCUAUAGGCACGAGCCUUAGAAACCUUAAUUUUGAUAAGGUGGCCAUAGUUUGUAUUAUGUAUGAUGAAAUAGUUGGCCAUGGAAGAAUUAUGAAA